GCCCCCCCGCUUCCCGCAGGCCCGGGCGGGUGAAUCAGCCUUUCUUGGGGGGGGGGGGGGGGCGGGGAUGCCGUCCGCACA
rnacentral:miRNA from 1 species